CCUACGGGGUGCAGCAGUAGGGAAUCUUCCACAAUGGGCGAAAGCCUGAUGGAGCAACGCCGCGUGGGUGAAGAAGGUCUUCGGAUCUUAAAACUCUGUUGUUAGAGAAGAAAGUGCGUGAGAGUAACUGUUCACGUUUCGACGGUAUCUAACCAGAAAGCCACGGCUAACUCCGUGCCAGCCGCCGCGGUAAUACGGAGGUGGUAAGCGUGAUCCGGUUUUAUUGGGCGUAAAGGGAACGCAGGCGGUCUUUGAAGUUUGAUGUGAAAGCCUUCGGCUUAACCGGAGUAGUGCAUUGGAAACUGGGUGACUUGAGUGCAGAAGAGGAGGGUGGAACUCGAUGUGUAGCGGUGAAAUGCGUAGAUAUAUGGAAGAACACCAGUUGCGAAAGCGGCUCUCUGGUCUGUAACUGACGCUGAGGUUCGAAAGCGUGGGUAGCAAACAGGAUUAGAUACCCGUGUAGUC
rnacentral:rRNA from 1 species